rnacentral:tRNA from 1 species
GUUUUUAAUUAUGGUGGAUUUUGAAAAUCUACAAAUGAUUUAUAUAGAAAUCAUAAAAACU